CUACGGGGGGCAGCAGUUAGGAAUAAUCUACAAUGCGCGCAAGCGUGAUAGUUUGAGCCAGAGUGCUUUUCUAUUUGAAAAGCUUUUGCCGAGUGUAAAAAGCUCGGCGAAUAAGGACUGGGUAAGACGAGUGCCAGCCGCCGCGGUAAUACUCGCGGUCCAAGUCGCAACCAUUUUUAUUGGGUCUAAAACAUCCGUAGCUUGCUAAAUAAGUUUCCUGUGAAAUCCGGUUUCUUAAGAAUCGGGCGGGCAGGAAGUACUGUUUAGCUAGAGACUGGGAGACGUAAGAAGUACGUUUGAAGUAGCGGUAAAAUGUGUUAAUCUUAAACGGACUCACAACAGCGAAGGCAUCUUACGAGAACAGUUCUGACAGUAAGGGAUGAAGGCCAGGGGCGCAAAACGGAUUAGAUACCCUCGUAGUC
rnacentral:rRNA from 1 species